GUGGGUUCAAAAAAGUCCGAAGUCACGCGUCUGUCCAUGUUCACUCAGUCCUGGAUGAUCACAGAGCCAGCAGCAGGAACAUUUUAGCCAGUAUGAGCAGGUGGACGCUGUCCUUUCUUCUGCCGACACUAAUGCUGUGUUUUACAACUGAAGCUUUCGGACAAAACACAACCCAAGUGACACCAACUUUGGAGAAAACCAUCAGGACACAACCAGACAUCACUCCAAUAUGCACCAACUCAACAUUCAUCACACUUACAUUCUGUAAAAUCAAAAUACUGGGGAACAUGGAAGAAUGUCGUUUAGUACGAACACACAAAAGACUUUGUGCAGAACUGUAGCAGCAGGUUCAGACUUAUGACAGAAAACCACACUGUGUUUCUCCACCUGGUGGAUUUAACACCAGUGGACAGUGGAACAUCCAAUGUGAGUGUUCAACCAUUGAAGGAACCUCUAAACUUAAGCUCAACAUCACUGUAGAAGGCAUUUCAGAGAAUGAAAAGAACCAUUCUUCAACACCAUCUAUUUUCUUUCUUUAUGCUUUGACUGUUGCUGCUGUGUCAUCAUUAUAACUGGA